rnacentral:rRNA from 1 species
GAUGAACGCUGGCGGCGUGCCUAAUACAUGCAAGUCGAGCGAACAGAUGAGGAGCUUGCUCCUCUGACGUUAGCGGCGGACGGGUGAGUAACACGUGGAUAACCUACCUAUAAGACUGGGAUAACUUCGGGAAACCGGCGCUAAUACCGGAUAAUAUAUUGAACCGCAUGGUUCAAUAGUGAAAGACGGUUUUGCUGUCACUUAUAGAUGGAUCCGCGCCGCAUUAGCUAGUUGGUAAGGUAACGGCUUACCAAGGCGACGAUGCGUAGCCGACCUGAGAGGGGGAUCGGCCACACUGGAACUGAGACACGGUCCAGACUCCUACGGGAGGCAGCAGUAGGGAAUCUUCCGCAAUGGGCGAAAGCCUGACGGAGCAACGCCGCGUGAGUGAUGAAGGUCUUCGGAUCGUAAAACUCUGUUAUGAGGGAAGAACAAAUGUGUAAGUAACUAUGCACGUCUUGACGGUACCUAAUCAGAAAGCCACGGCUAACUACGU